CAUACACACACGAACACACACCCACGGAGACACACACGAACAUACACACACGAACACACACACACACACAGGAAAAUAUGAAGUCAUUGAAAUACACGUCUGCUGACGCAAGCAGUGAGCUCUCUGCUCGUGCAAGGCCACUCCUUCUGUUUUUUUAAAUCAAAUCAAAAUUUUAUUGGUCACAUACACAUAUUAUUGCUGGUGUAGCGAAAUGCUUGUCCUGUCCUUCUGUCCUGUCCUGGCAGGAACACAGAGGGACUAACUUUAACUGGGCCAAUGUGGAGAUGCACUUAUAGAUGACAGGAGCUAACAGCUGCCUUACUAUUUUACCCUCUGACGUCUUCAUGGGGAGAUGUAAGCACGGCAAGGCCAGAGGACUGAGAGAGGUGCGCGUUCCAACGUUCCCACAUUCUGAGUUCUGAGGUUCCAGUGUUCUGAGGUCCCAUUGUUCUGAGGUCCCAGUGUUCUGAGGUCCCUGUGUUCUGAGGUCCCAGUGUUCUGAGGUCCCAGUGUUCUGAGGUCCCAGUGUUCUGAGGUCCCUGUGUUCUGAGGUCCCUGUGUUCUGAGGUCCCAGUGUUCUGAGGUCCCAGUGUUCUGAGGUCCCUGUGUUCUGAGGUCCCAGUGUUCUGAGGUCCCUGUGUUCUGAGGUCCCAGUGUUCUGAGGUCCCAGUGUUCUGAGGUUCCAGUGUUCUGAGGUUCUAACCAUCCCUUGCUGCAGGAAAGCGGAUGCAUCGAACGUUAGCUGUCAGUGCUAGCGCGGUCACACGCCAGUCUUACUCUGUUAACGAAUAACCAUUCAUCACAGCUUCCUUUAGCUCCUCCCACCUUCACCCAGGAGACCCUUCUUUGACACUCCCUGUGCAUUUUUGUUGUUGUAGCUUUAGUUUUUUGUUUCUUUAUGUUGGUUACCUGCAGUUAUAGACUAGUUAAAAGGAAGGAAAACUAAUACGGAGAGACCUUUUUAUUUUUGGACUAAUCAUAAUGAUUUUAUUUCAUCAUAAUGAGAGAAUUCUGUCCUAAUUUUAUUAAAUGUGCAAUAUGAUUUAUUUUUUUUAAGACGGAUUAUAUAUUUUGACAACAAAGGGUCUAGUCUAUUGAGCAUUUUAACUGUUUUAAAAUCUGUUUAUUUUAUUGUAUCAUACAACAGGAAAGACAAGCCUAAUUUGACUAGAUGGGGGGGGGCAGGCAGAUUGACAGUAGGAUUUGAGGAAUGGAGCCACACUGUGUAGCAAGCCUAAGCUAGCUCUAUGUGACUGAAAGAUGAAAAGUCUUAUAAAUUAUGUCAUUUAUUGAAUCAAAGGAUUAAAUUAUUAUUAUUAUUAUUAUUAUUAUUACACAAUUGUGCAUGGGAUUUCGUUGACAAGUUACUUUAAUUAUCUUCUUUGCUUCUGAUGUUAAAACCACUAAGCUGUGAAGAGGAGGGAAAAUCAGUUGGUUUAGUCAAAUUAAAAAACACCUAUUGUUAUAUCUCUGCUUGCAUGUCUUGUGAGACUGGAAAGUAAACGUCCUUGAAUUGAUUCUCAAAAACAAGAAUUGAUUCCAGAAUUGAUUGUAUUGAUUCUCAGAAGAAACUUGGUAUUGAAUGUAUUCAGGUUGAAUUCAAGGGACGGAUAAUAUGUGGUACCUGUGGUUAUGUGGUUAGGAGUGAUGCCUUUUAAAAGUCUUGAACACUUCGACCUUUACCUUUACCUCAGAAGAAGAAGAUAAGGAGAGGGUGGAUGGAGGGGGGGGGUGGAAUAGACGGUCGUUAAGAUAUGAAGUCUGUGUCUUAAUUGUUUUGUGUAGGAAGUGACCGGACUGUUGCAAUCAAAGGGAGGUGAGUUAUAAAUGUGCCCCUUACAUUUUAACCAGUACUAGUCUUUGUUGCAGGUAAAGCAUGAUUUAGUUUUUAUUAAAAAAAAACAUAUAAACAAA